rnacentral:rRNA from 1 species
UACGAAGGAUUCGAGCGUUAUCCGGAUUUAUUGGGUUUAAAGGGUGCGUAGGUGGACUAAUAAGUCAGUGGUGAAAGCCCGCAGCUUAACUGCGGAACUGCCAUUGAUACUGUUAGUCUUGAGUACAGUUGAGGUGGGCGGAAUGUGUCAUGUAGCGGUGAAAUGCUUAGAUAUGACACAGAACACCGAUUGCGAAGGCAGCUCACUAAACUGUAACUGACACUGAGGCACGAAAGUGUGGGUAGCAAACAGG